CCCGUGUUUACUGUACCUUAGUUGCUUCGGCGGGCCCGCCAUUCAUGGCCGCCGGGGGCUCUCAGCCCCGGGCCCGCGCCCGCCGGAGACACCACGAACUCUGUCUGAUCUAGUGAAGUCUGAGUUGAUUGUAUCGCAAUCAGUUAAAACUUUCAACAAUGGAUCUCUUGGUUCCGGCAUCGAUGAAGAACGCAGCGAAAUGCGAUAACUAGUGUGAAUUGCAGAAUUCCGUGAAUCAUCGAGUCUUUGAACGCACAUUGCGCCCCCUGGUAUUCCGGGGGGCAUGCCUGUCCGAGCGUCAUUGCUGCCCAUCAAGCACGGCUUGUGUGUUGGGUCGUCGUCCCCUCUCCGGGGGGGACGGGCCCCAAAGGCAGCGGCGGCACCGCGUCCGAUCCUCGAGCGUAUGGGGCUUUGUCACCCGCUCUGUAGGCCCGGCCGGCGCUUGCCGAACGCAAAUCAAUCUUUUUCCAGGUUGACCUCGGAUCAGGUAGGGAUACCCGCUGAACUUAAGCAUA
rnacentral:rRNA from 1 species